rnacentral:rRNA from 1 species
UACGAAGGGGGCUAGCGUUGCUCGGAAUCACUGGGCGUAAAGGGCGCGCAGGCGGUCUGGUAAGUUUGGAGUGACAGUGCUCGGCUUAACUGAGCAAGGCCUUCGAAAACUGCUAGACUUGAGCACUCAAGAGGGACAUAGAAUUCCGGGUGGAGUGGUGAAAUGCGUAGAUAUCCGGAGGAAUACCAAAGGCGAAGGCAGUGUCCUGGGGAGUGUCUGACGCUCAGGCGCGAAAGCUAGGGGAGCGAACAGG